UACUGUAGGGUUUCAUGUCACUGUGCAAUUGGAGAAAACCAACAUUAGGAAUGGUUUCCAGGAUGCCUCUUAUAAUUACAUUGGGAACCUAACACUGUAUCCUGAGUGAAAAAAUUAUAAUAACAAGAUGUCAUUAGAGAAUGGCUAUGUCUAGCUUUCUUGGGUAUCAAAGACUGGCUCUGUGCCUUAACAAACAGUCAGGGAUCCGACGGGGGCAAGGGGGUGGGUAGGCCUCUCCCUACAGUUCCCUGUCCCCAGAUUCUGGUGGGCUCUCCUUCCCUCAUCGUCAUGCUGAGGAUCAAUUUGCCCUAUUCCCAGCCCCAGGUCACUGCAAGCACAUGGCGGCUUCCCCACUCUACCACACUUAUGUGAACUGCCUCUUGAGAACAUUCUUCACAUCAUCUGAAUGUGUCAUUCUGCUUUCUGCCAGCUUCUUAAAUACUACAGUCCACUAC
rnacentral:lncRNA from 10 species